GACGUAGGGCGCGAGCGUUGUCCGGAUUUAUUGGGCGUAAAGAGCGUGUAGGCGGUUUGGUAGGUCCGCUGUGAAAACUCGAGGCUCAACCUCGAGACGCCGGUGGAAACCAUCAGACUAGAGUCCGGAAGAGGAGAGUGGAAUUCCUGGUGUAGCGGUGAAAUGCGCAGAUAUCAGGAAGAACACCCGUGGCUAAGGCGGCUCUCUAGUACGGUACUGACGCUGAAGACGCGAAAAGCGUGGGGGAGCGAACAGG
rnacentral:rRNA from 1 species